UGUAAAAAAAAAAAAAAAAAACUACUUCUGAUAACCAAGAUAACUAUGGAUACACCUUAAUCUUUCAAGCCUUUGUUCUGCUUAAUAAUCCAAAGCCUAACACCACAAAACAAGCAGAAACAACUCUAAUUUCUAAACAAUCUGAGAAAUUGUAACUAGCUAAUGAAGUCAUUCUAAAAAGCCCCAGGCGGUUAAAUCUUACGCACAUUAAUCGGAAACGGAAACGAAGACGAAACAAUAAAAAAAGAAGAAAUAUUUCUCAGA
rnacentral:misc_RNA from 1 species